AGAGUUUGAUCCUGGCUCAGGACGAACGCUGGCGGCGUGCUUAACACAUGCAAGUCGAACGAUGAAGCCCAGCUUGCUGGGUGGAAGAGUGGCGAACGGGUGAGUAACACGUGAGUAACCUGCCCAUGACUCUGGGAUAAGCGCUGGAAACGGCGUCUAAUACUGGAUAUGCACGACGGCCGCAUGGUCAGUUGUGGGAAAGAUUUAUCGGUCAUGGAUGGACUCGCGGCCUAUCAGCUUGAUGGUGAGGUAAUGGCUCACCAUGGCGACGACGGGUAGCCGGCCUGAGAGGGUGACCGGCCACACUGGGACUGAGACACGGCCCAGACUCCUACGGGAGGCAGCAGUGGGGAAUAUUGCACAAUGGGCGCAAGCCUGAUGCAGCAACGCCGCGUGAGGGAUGACGGCCUUCGGGUUGUAAACCUCUUUUAGUAGGGAAGAAGCGAAAGUGACGGUACCUGCAGAAAAAGCACCGGCUAACUACGUGCCAGCAGCCGCGGUAAUACGUAGGGUGCAAGCGUUGUCCGGAAUUAUUGGGCGUAAAGAGCUCGUAGGCGGCUUGUCGCGUCUGCCGUGAAAACCCAGGGCUCAACCCUGGGCGUGCGGUGGGUACGGGCAGGCUAGAGUGCGGUAGGGGAGAUUGGAAUUCCUGUGUAGCGGUGGAAUGCGCAGAUAUCAGGAGGAACACCGAUGGCGAAGG
rnacentral:rRNA from 1 species